UCUCUCCCUCCUUCCUGCCGUCCCCCGCCUGAGGGAGGGGAGCGGUGCAGCAGACACCCGAGGGCAGCUGGGACCCCCUGACUCAGCCGACGGGUGAGUCAGGCCCCCUGCAGGCCACACCGGACCGCCCCAGGGCGGGGAUUUCCCCAAGAUGAGAAAUCAGCCACCGGAAGUCACGCCGGACCUUGGACGGGCAGACAGAGGCUGGGAGGAGUUCUGGGUGCAGAGCCCCCCAACCUGUGCUCUCAUCUCUUGCUCUGGGGUAAGCCAGUGGCCAUGCUAUAAGGACACUCAAGCCACCCUAUGAAGAAGCCCACAUGAAGAGGAACUGAGAUAUCUGGCCAACAGCCAGCCAGUCACUGAGCCUGCCAACCACGCUGUGGCAGGUACCUCCAGCCCCAGACACCUGCAGCCUCCACUGAAAGCUCAACGGCAGCCUCAUGAGACCCUGGACCAGAACCACCCAACGAAGCGGCUCCUGAAUUCCUGAUUGACAGAAACUACGGGAUCAUAAAUGCUUGCUGUUCAGUCUGCCAAAUGUUGGCGUGAUUUGUUAAACAGCAAUCAGUAACUAAUACGCAACCCAUGGCUGCCACGUUCCUGCUGUGGGGCCAGCACUAUUCCAUGCUUAGAGGCUCCAUCAAUACCUGUGAUGGACUAAAUGGUCAGUACAAACAACAGCUCCUCUGUAAUGGUAUGAGGCAGACAGGUUUCUAAAGGCAAUAUGCUAAGGUGCAAACUCAACUCCAAAAGACCACAUAGUGUAUCAUCCCAUUUAUAUGAAAUGUCCAGAACAGGCAAAUCCAUAGAGACAGAAAGCAGAUUAGUGGUUGCCAGAGGCUGAGAGAUGGAAGAAAAGUAGAGAGUAACUGCUAAUGGUGUGAAAUCUCUUUUUGGAGUGAUGAAAAUGUUUUAAUUUUUUUUUUUUUUUGAUAGAGACAGGGUCUCACUAUAUUGCCCAGGCUGGUCUUGAACUUCUAGGCUUAAGUGAGUUCAGCCUCAGCCUCCCAAAGUGCUUGGAUUACAGACAUGAGCCACCAUGCACAGCUUAAAAUUUAUGAUGCUGAUGGUUGCAUAACUGUGAAUAUACUAAAAAACACUGAGGCGGGGUUUGGUGACUGACACCUGUAAUCCUAGCACUUUGGGAGGCCGAGGUGGGAGGAUCACUUAACACCAGGAGUUUGAAACCAGCCUAGGCAACAUAGCAAGACUCCAUCUCUACAAAAAAUUUAAAAAUAAAAAUAAAAACCAUUAGGCCAGGCAUGAUGGCUCAUGCCUGUAAUCCUAGCACUUUGGGAGGCCAAUGCAGGUGGAUCACCUGAGGUUAAGAGUUCGAGACCAGGCUGGCCAACAUGGUGAAACCCCAUCUCUACUAAAAAUACAUAAAGUAGCCCGGCGUGGUGGUGGGCGCCUGUAAUCCCAGCUACUCGGGAGGCUGAAACAGAAGGAUCACUUGAACCCGGGAGGCAGACGUUGCAAUGAGCCAAGAUCACGCCACUGCACUUCAGCCUGUGUGACAAGAGUGAAACUCCAUCUCAAAAAUAAAAAGGAAAACAAUAACAACAACAGCAACAAAAAACCAUUGCAUUGUGCACAUUAAAUGAAUUGUAUGGUAUGUGAAUUCUAGCUCAAUAAAGCUUCUUAUGCUAAAA